UACGUAGGGGGCAAGCGUUAUCCGGAUUUACUGGGUGUAAAGGGAGCGCAGACGGAGGGCCAAGCCGGAUGUGAAAGCCCGCGGCCCACCCGCGGGACUGCAUUCGGAACUGGUCAUCUGGAGUACUGGAGGGGCAGGCGGAAUUCCUGGUGUAGCGGUGAAAUGCGUAGAUAUCAGGAGGAACACCGGCGGCGAAGGCGGCCUGCUGGACAGAGACUGACGUUGAGGCUCGAAGGCGUGGGGAG
rnacentral:rRNA from 1 species